UACGUAGGUGGCAAGCGUUGUCCGGAAUUACUGGGUGUAAAGGGAGCGCAGGCGGGGAAUCAAGUUGGAUGUGAAAUACCAAGGCUUAACCAUGGAGCUGCAUCCAAAACUGAUUUUCUUGAGUGAAGUAGAGGUAGGCGGAAUUCCGAGUGUAGCGGUGAAAUGCGUAGAUAUUCGGAGGAACACCAGUGGCGAAGGCGGCCUACUGGGCUUUAACUGACGCUGAGGCUCGAAAGUGUGGGGAGCAAAC
rnacentral:rRNA from 1 species